AGGCUCUUAGCUCAGGGGUAGAGCACUACAUUGACACUGUAGGGGUCAGCGGUUCAAAUCCGCUAGAGCCUA
rnacentral:tRNA from 1 species